UAAUACGUAGGUGGCAAGCGUUAUCCGGAAUUAUUGGGCGUAAAGGGUGCGCAGGCGGCUAUUUAAGUCCGUGGUAAAAGACUGAAGCUCAACUUCAGUAAGCCGCGGAAACUGGAUGGCUAGAGUGCAGGAGAGGGUAGUGGAAUUCCAUGUGUAGCGGUAAAAUGCGUAGAUAUAUGGAGGAACACCAGUGGCGAAAGCGGCUACCUGGCCUGUAACUGACGCUCAUGCACGAAAGCGUGGGGAGCAAAUAGGAUUAGAUACCCUAGUAGUCCACGCCGUAAACGAUGAGCACUAAGUGUUGGAGAAAUUCAGUGCUGCAGUUAACGCAAUAAGUGCUCCGCCUGGGGAGUAUGCACGCAAGUGUGAAACUUAAAUGAAUUGACGG
rnacentral:rRNA from 1 species